GACGAACGCUGGCGGCGUGCCUAAUACAUGCAAGUCGAACGCAGUGGGGACGGGUGAGUAACCCUUGUGUAACCUCCCAUCUGAGGGGCUCACACUUGGAAACAGGUGCUAAACCGAUCCUGUUGGAUGGACCCGCGGUGCAUUAGCUAAGUGGUGAGGUCAUGGCUCACCAAGGCCACGAUGCAUAGCCGACCUGAACUGGUGAUCAGCCGCAACGGGACGGAGACGCGGCACAGACUCCGACGGGAGGCAGCAGUAGGGAAUCUUCGGCAAUGGACGAAAGUCUGACCGAGCAACGCCGCGUGAGUGAAGAAGGUUGUCGGAUCGUAAAACUCUGUUGUUAGAGAAGCGGUAUCUAACCAGAAAGCCACGGCUAACUACGUGCCAGCCGCCGCGGUAAUUC
rnacentral:rRNA from 1 species